GCCUUCUUAGCUCAGUGGUAGAGCGUUGGUCUCGUAAACCAAAGGUCGAGAGUUCAAUUCUCUUAGGAGGCA
rnacentral:tRNA from 1 species